GUCUUUCAGAAAAUAUUAUAAAAUUUCAAUUUAUAAAAGAAUAGAACCCCAAAAGGUGAAUCAGAUAUUCAGAUUACAAGAAAAAUAGAAACCUUCACCCUCUGCCUUCCAUCUCCGUUGCUGUCGCUCCUUGCAGAAGAAUCGGAUUACAAACUACUGAAAUGCUGCCAUUCACGCCUCUACCCAUUAAUCCAUUCUUCACUCCGGAUUCUUCUCUCUUUUUUAUUCUAUACGAUAGUAUCUGGUCUGGUGGUUCAUAUCUGUUGGGUUAAGGAGCUUCUGCAAUCAAGGGAGGAGGAUGUCGUAUCAGAUAUGAUAUUGACAGAUUACUCUGAUUGGAAAUGGAUGAGAAGAUAGGAAGAAAGUUUUUGAAUGUUUUGAAGAUUGUUGAGGAAGCGUUUUCUGUACAUGAGCAUUGAGGGAGCUCAUUAAGCUUAUCAAGAUCUACAAGGAACCGUGAAGCUAUUGCAAUGUCUUUCCUUGUAGCAAAUGCAAUUGGUGCUCAUAUCAACGACCAUUGACUUUCUGCUGCCAUUCAUAUUAGCAUCAUUUGCUGCAAAUUUUCACUUUCACGGCUUCUCAAUACUUCGUUUCUCUGAAGUUAAUGUCAGCAUUCUUCGGCCAAAUCUAUAAGGACCGACUAGAAGAGAAUAGGGAUCUGUUAUCUGUCAGUCAAAGUACAUAGGCAUUUUGUUCUUGAGACUAGUUGGAGAUUUAAAUUGUGCAAUUGGGACUUUGUCUUCUCAAAUUUCUAUAGGCAGUAAGUAGUGAUUGUUCAUUCUUUUUUUUCCUUUUUUUUUUUUUUUUGGUUGUAUGUUAUAUUAUCUCUGGAAGAGGUGAUUAACUAGGAUCAAUGAAUCUGUAUCAAAUCUAAUUUUUGGACUGGUAAAUGAAUGGGCUGCUUGCUUCUUGGA